UGCCUCGGCCGGGAAUCGAACCCGGGCAGCCCGCGUGGCAGGCGAGCAUUCUACCACUGAACCACUAUAUC
rnacentral:tRNA from 1 species